UGCUGGGUGGCUCAAAGGAGUAGGGUGCUGGCCUCAUAUGUCGGAGGUGGUGGGUUCAAACCUAGCCCCAGCCA
rnacentral:tRNA from 1 species